CCAUGUGUGUUUUUGAGUAACAUGUAUGAUUUAUGAGUUCAUCUAGAUAGCAGGUAACAGCAGAUUAGUUGAUUUCUGUUAUCAAUGUAAUUGUUUUACUUAUUAAGAACACAGAGUAAUUAAAAUUAGAAGAAAAUUGAGAGAUUGUGCAAUUUAAUGGAAUCAUUGAAAAUGAACAAAUUGAAGUCCAAGAGAGAUUUCACUAAAAGAGAGACUUAAUGGAUUCAGGUUUAAUUCUCACACUGACUGAGGAAUGAGUCAGCUGCAAAUUAUUAUUUUAUGUGUCUGCACUCUCAGGAUUCCUGGAUUGUCUAGGUUCUGUGUUUUUUUAUGAAGAAAAUGAUGGAUAAAUAAUUUGUCUUUUCCAUAAAUAGUAUAUUUUGGCCAUUUCUCUAACUGGUUGACAUGAUGCCUAGAUUUGUUUUGAUGAGUGAUUAAAUUUUAGUGAGUGUGAUCAGAUGUAAUUUUGCAGAAAAUACUGUAUGCAGAUAUUAUUGUCUCUACAGUUUAAAAUUAUAAGCAGAAAAAUGCUAAACAUUUCUAAAUUACAUUAAGAUAAAAUAGCAAAUCAUCAGGAGAUUAGAGUAGGUUAAAAGGACUCUUAAGCAUAAUUAAAGAUUCCCCAAGGGGCAGCUUUAUCCAUGAAAAACAAACAGUACAGAAUAAAAUCUUGUAUUUUCUUCAAGGGUUACAUUAGAUGCAGGGAAUGAUGUGGGAACAGGUCAUACAUUGUAUGGGGGAUGAAUCCUUUUUGAAAUAGAGGCACGUUGCCUGUUGUUAAUAAGAUAUUAAUGGUUUAUGGAAGCUGUUGGUUAGGUCAAAAUGAAUUUCAUACAUUUUUAUCAUUAUUCUGUUACAACCCAAUAUUUACAUAUGGUGCUGUGUAUUAAAGUUAGGCAAAUCACUGUUUCUGAAAAAUUCUCAGCUCAAGUAUACAGGCCAGUGAAAGUGCCUUGGAGAUAGAAUUUCAUCAGGUUUGUCCUGUAGUAAUCAGUGUUUUAAAUUACAGUGCAGCGCAUUCCAAAUCAAUAUAAUGAAUUGAUUUGUAAAUGUUUCAGGCAGCCUACCUUCUUUGGAUUUUGUCUACUGAAUGUGCACUGCAGGAGGCUAGGAUGAUCUAUGGUCUUCUGGUCUCAAAAACCACCUUUUGGAAACUCGAAGAAAAUCAGAUGUACAACCCAACCAAAACAGGAAUUCUAUUUGAAUACGAUGAUAAGUUUGGAGAAAUCUCUCUGGAGAUGGUGUUUUCAAGAGUUGUAUGGCUAUGAUGUUAUUUUAAUGAAACCAGCACGAGAAGUGCGCCCUAUUACUACAUUAUCAAGCUGUGAUAAUGUUUCCAUUGUGUAUUACGUCAGUGUUCUCUCAUGUGCUCUGACUCCAGAUGAAACUUAAGGUGUUGACUACAAAGUCUAAAAUUAUUUGGAUUUUAGUUACUAUAUUCUCUUCUAAUGUGAUGCAUUUUAAAUUUAAACUUUUGAAGCAUUCAUGCUACUUUCAGAUUACAUUGAAGAUAAUUGGGGAAUGAGACUUGUUUUAGAGCAUUUUUUCAAAGGUGGGGGAGGGGAGAAACAUCCUCUAUGUGAGCAGUAUCUUAAUACUGGAUUUCCUUUGAAAGCAAGAACUUUAUUCUAAAAUUUGAAAUAUUUAAGUUAGUCAAAGUAACUCUGUGUGUCUUUAAAUUGCAAAUAUUGUUUUGCAAGUAUAACUUUUUACCUCUUAGGUUGUAUGUGCUUAUGUUACAGUAAUGUAUUUCUGACACAUGGCAUGGAAUGUGGAUAAAAAUGAACCUAAAAUGUAAAAGUAAAAUAUUACUCUAUUACAUCCUUCUGGGGAAAUAUAUUCUCUGGGUAUUUUGAUAAACCCCUGCUGACACUGACCCAAGUUGGUGGCUUCAGAAAAUAUCAAUCUGUCAGAAUCUAUAGCAGGAGUUUGGCUUGUUUCCUAUUAUUAUGUGGCCAAAAGUUUAGAAACCAUUUAUAGACACUUCCCCUCCCUCCUUAGCCUUGUCCAAAUAAUUAGCAAUUCUCAGACCAACUGCAAAAUGUAUUUGUGUUCUGCUCUUUCAGCUAAUGUCUGCCUCAGUCCAACCCGUCUUCAUGCCCUGCAAGUGACUGCAGGUCUCCUCAGUGAACCAUGUAUCUACUCUUGCUAGCUUCCAAUUCUUCUUAUUCACACUGCCCAUUUUUAUAAAUUAAAAGGUUUAUUUUUAGAGCAGUUUUAGAUAUAUAGAAAAAUUGAGGAGAAAAUACAAAGUUCUCAUUUACCUCCCCAAGCCCAGUUUCCUGUCUGAGUAAUCGCCUGCAUUAGUAUGGUACAUUUGUAUAAUUAAUAAGUUGCUACUAAUCCUGAAAUCCAUGGUGACAUCAGAGUUCACUCUGUGUUGCACAUCCUAUGAUUUUUGAUAAAUUUAUAAUGACGUAUACCCACCAUUGCAGCAUAAUUUUAACGCCCCCAAAUUGCCCAUAUUUUACUAUUCAUCCCUUGUUACCUUCUUCUAAAUACUUGUAAUGAUUUUUUGUUUAUAUUUUUGCUAAUUUUACAUCUUACAAAAAGUCAUGCAUUUGAAUCAUUCAGUAGACAGUCUUUUCAUUUUUUUUAAUUUGCCACGAUGAAUAUGAGUUUCUUCUGUGUCUUUUGUGUGACUUAUGUAUGUUGUUGAUUAAUGUUCCAUUUUAUGUGUAGUCCAUUAAUUUCUUGAUCCUUCCAUAUAUUGGAUAUAAAAUCUUGAAUGGUUCCAAAUUUUGGCAGUUAUGAAUAAAAACACUAUCAACA